GCACCUUUUGUGGACAGCUACAGAGGGUCCUCGUAGGGUUGACCAAGUGAAGAACAGGAGUUGAAGAGAGUAAACUUCAACUGGAAGUGGCAAUAAGCAGCUUGAAGCCUUUUUUGAAGAAGAAGAAGAAGAAGAAGAAGAAGAAUUGUUCACUAUUUGCCAAACUACUGCUUAUUGUGAGUUGUAGCGGCCCUCCGAGGGAAGUCAUAACUACGUUGUGGCCCGUGACAAAAAUGAGUUUGACAUCCCUGCCUUAAAGAACCCGAUAAAGCCGCUGGCGGUCUACCCGUAACCUGUCGGCUCUCCGGCGAGUCACGAUGCAGACUUAUGAAAGCUUUCCGGCCGAAAAGAAAGAAAAAAAAAAAAACUAUCUUUGGCUCCUCUUCAGCCUUUGAGUCAUCCGAACUCACUCGCCCACGCCGAAACACAACAGGGCUCUCUCACACAACACUACAUGAAUACAUGGAUGGAUGGAUGGAUGGACGGAGAGAGAGAUGUGUCCAUUGAAAAAGGUUAAGUGUGAAGGCCCUGAAUCAUGUGUGCUGUUUUCAUGCAGCGUACCACAGAGUACUGUAUAUAAAUAGACACACAAAGACGACAGCCUUGGAGAAAAAAAAGAUAUAAAAACAAGUUCAAAAUGAGAAAAAAAACGGGAGCAAAGGACACAGAUGAAACUUACUCUCAGCUCAAUGAUUCAUUGAGUGUACGCAAUCAGUCACUUUACACUUUCGCGUCUAUCAUUGCAUUUAUUGUGAUUGUCACUCAUUGGUUUUGCACAAAACACAUUUCAGUGUUGAUUGGUUGGCAGAAAUAAAUAAAUGAUGCGAUUGAUGGAUAGAUGAAUGGAUGGGGUAAUGCAAGGAUGAGUAGGUAGAUGGGUGUUUGUAUGGAUUGAUGAAUGGAUCAAUAAAUAGGUGAAAGGAUGGAUGAAUAGGUAGAUGAAGGGUCAGUUAACAGAUGGAUGGAUGAAAAGGCAGAUUGAUGGAUGGGUGACAUCAUAGAUGAUUGAAGGGAUGGAAAGAUUCAUCGCGAUAUGGAUGCCUGGAUGGACGGUGGCAUGGUUAGAUAGAUGGAUGGAUGAAUCGGUAGUUGGAUGAGGAUGAGUGAGAGAAUGGGUGAAUUAAUGGAUGGAUGGAUGAAUGAAUGAAUGCACAAACUAAUGGAUGAUGGAGGGAUGAACGAAUAGAUGAAUACAUGGAUGUGGCACGGUUGGUUGGACAUGGAUGGACGAAUGGUUGCAUGGGUUUAUAAAUGGUUGGAAUGAAUAGGUAGAUGGAUGAAUGGUUUAACAGAUGGAUGGGGGAAUAGGGAGGUGGAUGGGGAUGAGCAGAUGGUGGAUGGAUAGAUGGUGGCGUGGUUAGUUGGAUAGAUGAAUAGAUGAAUGUGAGCCACAAUGUUCCAAUAUAUUAGAACGGUAUAUGGACGAAUUUGGGACUUGUUGACAUAUGGAGGCUAAAAAAAAACGUACAAAAAGAAAAUACACAUUUUUUUCUCGUCGGUUCACCGCUCUUUCUCAAGAAUAUAUUUUUUUUUUCUUUGAAACAAUUCGGCAUUACCUCCAAAAUACAUCCAAUCAUCAUCAGUGACCGCGCACCAAUUUCUCUCAACCUAAAAAUUGAGUCAAAUCUGAGACCCCCACCAACAUGGCGCUUCAACACGUCCCUAUUGAAGGAGUCCAGGACUUUGAUUCUUUUGUGAUGUUUUUAAGUUCAACGACUCCCCAACCAUAUCCCCAGCCGAACAGAACAACAACAAAAAAAAAAGACUAGAUCAAUGUGUGGCUCAGGAGGUGAAUGGAUGUUACAUGAGUUGAUGAAUGGAUAGAUGAACUAGAUGACUGAUGGAUGAAUGGAUUAACAGACAGAUGGGUGAAUAGGUAGGUGGGUAGGUGAAUUGAUGGAUGGGUUUCGGCAUCAUUGGUUGAAUAGAUGGACGGAUAAAUGGGUGGAUUACGAGUUGUAUGGAUGGUUUUAUGAGUUUGUGUAUGGGUGAAUGGGUGACUUGAUAGACAAAAAAAUGAACGGA